UACAGAGGUGGCGAGCGUUAUUCGGAAUUAUUGGGCGUAAAGGGCGCGUAGGCGGCCAAGCAAGUCCUGGGUGAAAUCCCUCGGCUCAACCGAGGAACUGCCUCGGAAACUGCAUGCUUGAGGCCGGGAGAGGGUAGCGGAAUUCCCAGUGUAGCGGUGAAAUGCGUAGAUAUUGGGAGGAACACCGGUGGCGAAGGCGGCUACCUGGACCGGUUCUGACGCUGAUGCGCGAAAGCGUGGGUAGCAAACAGGG
rnacentral:rRNA from 1 species